GAUUAUCCUACGCACAAACCGUCAAACUUAGUCGGACCAAGUCGAAGUGAGUACACUGAGAAAAACGUGACCACGAAAAUCUAGAAUUAACUAUUGACUCUUCCAGAAACAGACCAUUUUUUCAUAUGACAUUUUCACGUUAUACAAAACCAAUCUUGACGAAAAAACAGUAGCAAAUCGAACCCUUGAAAAAGAUCCCAAACGGAUCGAAACGUCGGGAAAGAUUUAAACAA